GGCGCUAUAGCCAAGUGGUUACGGCGACAGAUUCGAAUAUGAUCGGUAUCUGUUCCUCUUUGAGGGCGCAGGUUCAAAUCCUGCUGGCGUCG